rnacentral:lncRNA from 1 species
CCAUAGUCUACAUCUGUGCUGCCUCAAAGUGUGAAUUUGAGAUGAAUAUGUAUUUUUCUUUGGUAAAACUGCAGGAGAAGAAGAGAUAGAAGAUAUGAAACCUCUAAAUCUGAUAUCAGUUGCAGAGUCUGAAGUUUGAGACAGAAUCUAUCUGAUCUCUAUAUAUCUUUAUCCUUGGGAAAAGAACAAAGAGGAGAGGAUCCCUUUAAUCAUUCAACAUCUGGGAAGAAAAGAAAGAGUAAAGAAGAAUGGCUUGGCCAUUAAAAUGCCAUCUUUGUCUUGCCAGCUGUCCUAGCACCACAGGAAGAUAUUUCUUGUUCCUGGGCCUGCGGGAAGGAGUGGAUGAGGGAAGGAAGGAGAGGCUGCUGCCAGGAUGUGGGGGCAGAGCCAUUCUGCCAGAUGACUGCCUUGCUGUGCCCAGCCCAUCUCUGGGGAAGCCCUUGGCCACAGAUGAAUGUGGGCAAUUAGAUGGGAUGUGUCAUCCUGAAUGUGCCUGAUGGAUAAAUUGCUACGCUCCACGUGACCAGAGUCAGCCAUGUGCUUUCUGCGCUUACCUCUCGGACUUAACCUUUGGCAGUUCACUGUGGCCCAUGUCACCCAAACCCUUCAGCUGCCAUUCACAUCAUCAUAUUUGGAGUGGAGGGCUGUGUUAAUAACUUUGCCUUAUGCUUGCACCCACAAGCAGCAGAUAUUUUCUCUAGUUCCCUAGCAAAUCACUUAUGCACUGUAAUUAACUGGAAGCCUAUGAAGAGCAGUACCUUUGUGAAAUGUGAUAUUUCAGACUGUAAAUGUAUCUAAUUGUUAAGUCCUACACUGUAUCACUGUCUCUGAUGCAGAGAGAAGAAAGUUAAGUUCUUUCUGUCUUUGGAAUUUGUUAUUUCUAGAGGCUUAAUGAGACAUUUGAUUUCUUUCUUUCUUUUUUUUUGGCCAAUAUUUCACAGUUUCAGGAUAUGAAAUAAUUUUUUUUUUCCCCCUGAAAAAAAAAGUUAGUGAUCAAGCAGCAAAAACUGGGACACAUGGAUACUCCAAAUAUUUGCAUUUGAGCACAUGGGAAGAAAGAAGCAGCAUCACCUAACAGACUUUUUGGAUAGCUUUUUUAUCUGUGUAUCUCCAGAGUGCCCUUUGUCUCUGCUGCAUACUUAUACAGCCAAUUAUAUGCCUUACUUUGAAAAGGAGCU